AUACCUUUCUCGGCCUUUUGGCUAAGAUCAAAUGUAGUAUCUGUUCUUAUCAGUUUAAUAUCUGCUAUGUGGGUCAUGUGCCCACAAUGAUAUUAAAUUUAUUUUUGAAAAAUGUAUUUGGCAACCCUGUGACAGUUUGCAAAACUGCCACACCAGCU
rnacentral:snRNA from 2 species